CACGUAGGUGGCGACGUAAGUCGGGUGUGAAAGCCCCGGGCUCAACCUGGGAAUUGCAUUCGAGACUGUGUCGCUGGAGUACGGAAGAGGAAGGCGGAAUUCCCGGUGUAGCGGUGAAAUGCGUAGAUAUCGGAAGGAACAUCAGUGGCGAAGGCGGCCUUCUGGUCCAGUACUGACACUCAAGUGCGAAAGCGUGGGGAGCAAACA
rnacentral:rRNA from 1 species